CGAAACGACUCUGGCGGCUUCACUUUAUAAACACCAGUCAAAGUAUGUAACGAAAUAUACGAAUAAAAAAAACUUUCAACAACGGAUCUCUUGGCUCUCGCAUCGAUGAAGAACGCAGCGAAAUGUGAUAAGUAAUGUGAAUUGCAGAAUUCAGUGAAUCAUCGAAUCUUUGAACGCACCUUGCGCUCCCUAGUAUUCUGGGGAGCAUGUCUGUUUGAGUGUCAUGAACUCUUCAACCCAUCAGUUUCUUGUAGACUGACUGGAGCUUGGAUUUUGAACGUUGCUGGUCCCUCGUUGGACCUUAGCUCGUUCGUAAUACAUUAGCCGCUCUAAUUCGAAUUCGGAUUGACUCAGUGUAAUAGACUAUUCGCUGAGGACACUCUUCGGAGUGGCCGAACGAUCGAUACUUGAGCAGCUUCAAACUCUUGUAGUCAACUUUAGAUUAGACCUCAGAUCAGGCAGGAUUACCCGCUGAACUUAA
rnacentral:rRNA from 1 species